UACGAAGGGGGCUAGCGUUGCUCGGAAUGACUGGGCGUAAAGGGCGCGUAGGCGGUUUGUACAGUCAGAUGUGAAAUUCCUGGGCUCAACCUGGGGGCUGCAUUUGAUACGUAUGGACUGGAGUGAGGAAGAGGGUCGUGGAAUUCCCAGUGUAGAGGUGAAAUUCGUAGAUAUUGGGAAGAACACCGGUGGCGAAGGCGGCGACCUGGUCCUUUACUGACGCUGAGGCGCGAAAGCGUGGGGGAGCAAACAGG
rnacentral:rRNA from 1 species